ACGCUGAGCAACUCCUUGGCUGGAGGCGACGAGCCGUUUUCUUCUGGUUUCUGAUCGGUCUCUGAUCUGGGAGCCGACCUGCUUCUUCGGAACCGUUUAGCUCCUUCUAACGGCUUCCUUUGGAGCACGUCGGCGUUGUGGUUAUCAGGUACCAAUGCUCGUUGAAUACUGUUGUCAGACAUUGGUUUAGGUUGCGAAUUGCCGUCAGAAUCAAAAACCUAUUAUUCAGAGAAUGUCACACGUUACAGAUAAGCGAGAAGGAAGUUUAGAAGCUCAUCAAAUAUCAGGUAAAAAUUAAGGCAAGACGGUGGAUAUGCACUGAAUUGCAUGGACAACUGAGAGACAUUUUUUUUCCUAUCACCAUCAUUCUAAGCAUUGAAUUUUUUAACUGCAGGUCAAAGAGAGGCAGACAAAGUAAGAACAUCUUAGCAGACUAUGUACAAAUCGACCCUUAAAAACGCGUAUAAGGGGCAUUGUUGACCAUUUUUACGGUACGAAAUUGUCCCGGACAGAACAGACCCUGUAAAUGGAACUGUAUUCCACUAUAGUUUUUCUUUUUCUUUUUUCCUUACGUCCCGGCGAGCCGUCUCCUGCCACGGCGUGCCUCGCCCGCCUCGCCUCCGUCUCAUCUUGGCGCCGCCCGUUCCUGGUCAUGCAUGCAGUGAAGGAGGCCUGCGUCGUCUGCCCCCGAUUGAGCUCGGCACUGCCCGCCGCCGCGCGUACGUUUCCCCGUCGUGGCCGUGCGAGCUCCCCCACCCUGCUCCGCCCUUCUUCGGUGCCGCCCACCCUGAUUCAGGCCGCCGGUAGCCUGCUUCAUCCUGCCCGUGGACGGCCGCGUCUUGGCAGUGAAGGUCGAGCUGGCCGUAAUUCGGAUCGACGGCGACAAAUUUCGGCGUGCGGCGGCUUCUUUUGACAUGCAGUGACGGAUUCCGGUGAGUUUCAGAUAGAUUCCGGCCAGUUCCGCGGCGACGCGUUUGCUCCGACGAGGUUUGACCAGUUUACGGGUUGAACUGUAUACUGCUUUCAAAAGUGCACAUAUAAGGUUUUCACCGAUGGAUUUAGCGUGGCCUUUAAAAAGUUUACAGGUCGAACAAGUUUUACGGGGUCUGAUCCACGCCGUUUUUCCGAUCGAAACUGUAAACAUUUCAUUUUUUUACGGGUUUAACCAGUUUAUGGGGUCUGCUAGAAGGCCAAUACUUACUAGUAGAUGUUAUCUUGAAUUCCUGAUGUUGACUUUCUGGGCCUUUAGGCACAGAAUUCUCCUCUUAUCCAGUAUAAAAAUAAGGGCCGAUUCCUAUUUACCUAUUCUGUCGCUUUCUCUCUGGACAAAGUCGCACUGCUACUGGCUCAGAUCGGAUCUCUACAGCUAGCUUAAUCUGCAACCCAAGGAACUGAGAAGCUAAGUGCUGGAAAGUUAACCUUGAUGAGAGACGAAAAGGGGAAGCGAGACGAGCAGGGGAAGCAUUUCCCACUCUGCUAUACAACAGUAGCAUCUACUCGUGUUGAAGCUACAUACAGAAUCAAAGCCAUUCGCACGAAGCAAGCAGAGCACAGUUCAGAAGGCAGAGAGAUUAUCAUCCCUUACCUCCCUCCGGCCGACGGAAGCUGGGCGACGCUUUGGGGUGUCGAGGCGCCUUUCUUACUCCUUUUCUUCUUCUUCUUCUUCCCUCGAGCUCUACUGCUUUGCUCAGCUGAUCGAUCUCCUCCCGCUCCGCGUUGGCUCGCUUUUUGUCGACCCGAGCUGCGACCUGAGGCCUGGGCUGAGAGGCACGGAGAUGGGGACGCACGCACGCGCCACGACGGCCGCGCCGGAUCUCUCUACGUGUUGGCGCCGCGUGGGUUGAGCUGUAGAGGUCCCGCCGCUUUGACGUGGCCGGCCCCACCGUGCCGGCGCAAGUUGGAACCCUUCGCCUCGCCGUUUUGUUGACCUUCCUGACCCGGAGGGGGCGCGGCGCGAACCGAUCUGGCGGGUCCAGGUCGGUUGGCCGCAGGCAAAAUUCAGCAGGACUGCUGCUCCGUUUCUCAGAUCAAGAUCCAACUGAGAUCGGAUCCGAGCUCGGCAUGUUUAGCUGAACGAAAUGCAACCGUGCAAGGAGGUGGGGUGCGGGCGUCCAGCGAAUCGGGAUAAGAAAGGGCCUACAUGUCACUCUCUCCCCUCGUGCCUCGUGCCCUUCAUGAAAGCUCCACCCACCGGCCACCGCCCCCAUCACUCUCUGGUAUCGUUGCUCAUUCAAGAACGAUGUUUCUAGCUUGCUUUGCGACGCGGUAGGAACAUUUAAUAAAGAUGUCAAUCAGCCAAUGGGUUGGUUUUUGCACGGGUUGACCAAUCCCAUUGUUAGAUUCUGGAGGCCUCUCAGGGCGCUUGCAAUUUCGGCCGUCGGAUUGCGUUUUCAAACGAAUUCGGUCCGUCGGAUCUUCCUGGCCAUAAUGUGUGUGCUCUUCUCUAAUUACUAGCAAAAUGACCCGUGCGUUGCAACGGAAGAAAAAAACAUAAUCUUCAAUGAUGAUGACCACAUUAUGUUCACACAUAAUCGCUUGAUUUCGAAAUUUUGUGCACAAAUGCAAGAAAAUGUUUCUUCUUUUAAAUUUAUUCACAAGUUGAAGCAAUCUUUGCAUUUUCAAAAAAAAUAUAUAUAUCAUGGUUGUCAAAAAUCUUGGUAACUCAAAGAAUUAUUCUUAAUUUCAAGAUUUUUUUUUAGAAACACAUACAAUAAUAAUUCGAUCCAUCCAACAAUUAAUUCUUCAAAAAUCACACGGGUAUAUUUUCACAAAGACUUAGAAGCAUUAAUGUUUAACUACAUACAUUAGAUCUUUCAUGAACAAUUUUACAAAUAUGAGAACAAUUUUAAAAUUAAGAACUUUUUUUACAAUUUACAAACAUUUACUAAAAAUUGUGAAUAUUUUUUAUAUUUCAAACGGGUUUAAAUAUUUUCUUUUGAAUUGGCGACCAAUUCUAGAAAAGACGAACAUAAGUUUUUAUGUUGCAGGAUUUUACUUUAAAUUCACAAACAUUUUUGAAACGCAUGAAGUUUUGCUGAAUAAACAAACAUUUUUAUAAGUCAGUAAUAUAUUUAUUAAAUUCAUGACAUUGUUUUUGAAUUUGCAAAAUUUUUUAUAAAAAUCCGGCGCCUUUUUUGAAUCCACAAACAUUUUAUGUUUUCGUCAACAUUUAAUUCGAAAUUCCUAUUUUUUAAUAUGCAAAUGCUUUUGUAAUUCUAAAUUAUUUAAAUUAGAAGUAAACAAAAAUGGAACGGACAAAAUUAAAUAAAAAAGAAACUAUCAAAACAGGCAUUAGCUAUUUUUAAAUGCAUUAACAUAUUUUGAAUUAGAAAGCAUUUUGUUAAAUGCUUUUAAUAAUUUUUAAUACAUGGAAUUUGAUUUGAAAUCAUGGACUUUUCUUAUUGUAUAAACAUUUUUUCAAACUUGCAAACAUUUUAUUGUAUAUGCGAGCAUUUUUUAUAAAGACUCCGAGCAGUUUUUGAAGUCACAAACAUUUUAUUUUUUAAAAUAUGUUGAUUUAAAAUUUUAAGUUUAUUAAAAGUUUAAAGGUUAUUUGAAGUUCUAAAUUAUUUAAAAUAGAAAAAUAAAAUGGAACUGAAGAUAAAUAAAUAAUUGGAACUAAAAAAACUGAUGCCUGUGCAUGGGCCGGCCAAUACGGUGUGCUGGAUAUUCUCUCGGGGUGCAGAGCGGAGGUUUUUACAUGGGCCGGCCCAGUCUGAGAUUUUUCGUUUUGUGAAACGUUUUCUAUUACAUACCGGUGACAUGGUGGGUAAUUUAUGCAAACUUUAUGGGCAAUUUUCAUGACGUACCACAUAAGCAAUAGGUGCUUUAUUAAUAUCUCUAAUCUCUAACUAGACCAUGAUGGCGCGUGUUGCCGCGCCCGUCCAUUUGGUAAAUGGUAGAAAUUUAGUGAAAUAAAUUAAGACGUGAAACAUGGAAAUCAAAUUUUCAUCACGAACAAUGAUGCACUAAAGGUCAUGCCAAGAUGAAAAAUAUGAAAAUAAUCUAUUGGUGUAGUGGGCUUACAAUAUGUGUUCGUGGCCAUGCAAAUGUAUGAAAUAAAGAGUACAUGUCGAGGGCUACACUUGGCAUCACAAAUUCAAAUACAAGGAAUGAUAUCCAGAAGGUACCUUUAUAGCACAUCAAUAACACACCAUCCUCUAUUUUUGUACGUCCGUGUGUGUUCCUUCCAUCAAGCAGUUGAAGAAAAUUAUGUGCGGAAAUUGUGCUACCGCAAGAAAAAUAAUUGUAAUGCUCGGUGCACAUAUUCUGCAAUAACUUGGCUUGUGCUAAGCAAUUAGUUAACUAUUCAUGUCCCUUUCUAUACCGAACCACCGUCUAUCUAUCAUGCCAUCAUUUUUGUUUGUCGUCAUAAACGAUAUGGAUUCAUAUGAAACAAUAGAUAUAGUCUAAUAAAUUGCACUUGAAACCAGUUACCUCUUGCCUGAUGUCCUCGUGACCACCAUAAUAAUUUCUUAAAUCACCCUUCAGCCUUCCAUUCAUUUGAAGCUACAAAAAGAACACACUGGAAGAAAAAAAUACUAAGAGAUGAUCAAGGUAAACACACACAUAAUGGGAUCCAACCAUGGAAAAAAUGGUGCGGGAUUCAAUAAAGAAGAAAAAAGAGGAGGAUCCAUUGCUCCAGCCCGAUCUCAUGAAUGAGAAGAUCAUGAAGACAGGAAGCCUCAAAGAAAUAGGAGGUGCAAGGAUCAUGCUCGUCAUUAAUUUGCCCAUAAUCCCAGUGUUUAUUCUGUCAUCAGUCAACAUAAACAAUGAAAUAAUUUUGGAAAAAAUCACAUUUUUUAUGUAGAAGCAGCAAUUAGAUUAUUAACAAUUGAUAAAUAUGGUAUUGCAUUUAACUGAAUGUAAAAUGGAGUACCGGGCUAAUCUUGCAAAGACACACCCCUGCAGUAGUAAAGUUUCAUCUGCUGCGCCUUCGGUGAGAGAUUCUAAUGUCUGUAUCAAGGGUUCAGAGAAAGGUAGUCAGCCAUGAGAAAAUCAAACACGAACUAAUCAAUCUUACAACUUGUCAUGACGUCCAUGUAGUUCUCAGUAGGAAGAAGGUCACACCAACGAGGAUCAGGUGUGCUUGUUCGUCGGCCCCAUCAUGCUUUUCUCCACCAUCUGUUUGCUUUCUAUCUCUCUAACCAAUCGAUCAAGAACCAUCGUGAUAGAUUGGAGAUCGGAGUGAAAAUAUUAUACUUGUUCUUGAUUCAGUCACAGCAUACUUUGUCGAGUACGUGAGGUCCAUCCACAAAAUCAUUUAGGAGAGCACAAACACAACACCCAGAAUUCAAAACCGAGAGAGAUCAGGUGAGGAGUAGAGGAGGAAAUCCGCGAACUUACGAAGUGGCCCAGGAACGGUGGCGGCAGCUCCAUCCCAAUCGUCCAUGUUGCUACACGAGGAGGCUGGGGCGAAGGGGGUCGUCGUGGGGUUCCGAUUGUUUGUGCCGCCGUCGCCGUAGAUGGGGAGAAUAGGGGAGUUGCUCUAGAACCGUCGCCUUCGCACCUGCACGGAAUCGCACAAACGCUCGUCAUCCGUCGGUGCUUAAUGGGCUGGUCGCUUGGGCCUAAUCAACGAGGAUACUGCGUUUCGGCCACGAGAGUAGCCUCCCCUUAGGACAGCCAGCCCACGAAACACAAACAUGACACACAGAUCAGACCGAACGGCUAGAAAUGGUUUGAUCAGAAAAAUUAACGGUCCAAACAUCUCAUGGCGUGAGAAGAUAGGGAUUAGGCUCAGUUUUACUGUCCUAAAUUUGUUAACCCCAGUUCACUUUGGGUCCAUAAGGUGUGUGUUCUUCUCCAAUCCAUACUCUUGAUGCUUCGUGUGAUUACUUUUGCAGCAGUUUCAGUUUGUUGUAAUGAGAUUGCUCAUAUUCUGUUGAACUCAAACUCUGUAGGGCUCCCAACAUUUUGAAGACAUAUUAUCUACUCCCUCCGUUUCUAAAUAUAAGACCUUUUAGAGAUUAUAUUAUAAACUACAUAUGGAUGUACAUAGACAUAUUUUAGAGUAUAGAUUCACUCAUUUUGCUUUGUAUAUAGUCUUCUAGUGAAAUACCUAAAAUGUCUUAUAUUUUGGAACGGAGGGAGUAGUUAUUUUACUAGCUUGGUCUCAGCUAAGGAACUGUUGGAGCUUCCUUGCCACUUGAGAAGAGCUUGCAUUGCAUAUGCUGGCAAGCUCGCUCCUUUGUAGUGGUAUAUUCCUCGAAUGAGAGACUAUGAUGUAAGUCUCUGUGUGUGUGUGCGCGCGCGCGCCUGAAUAGAAACUCUGGGUGUUCACUUAGUUCUCCCAGGUCAUCAUCUCAUGGAAGCAAACUCCUAUUUGCCUGAGACCUCAUUAGAUAGAUUGCCGUUUGCCUUGCAAUUCUGGACCCAGGAGCAACAAAUCCAAGAAAAAAAUACAUCUACACAGGCUACCAUAUUGGAAGCUGGAAAUAUUUCAUGACUGGAAAACAAUAGCUUAACAAACUUCAUUUACACAGGUACACAAGCUUAUCAAAGCAUCACCAAAUACCUCUUUCUUACACAUGUCCAGGUGCAUAUGAGCAGAUCCAUUGUGUUAAAUACAUGUAGGAGCUCAACAAGGUCAUAUCUUUUGACACUUUACAAGAUUACAGAACUAAUUAACAGCAUUAACCGACCAUUCAACUAUAGUAUUUAAGCUGUAGAAUUAAGUACAAGCCCAUAUGUUCAUCACCGACCGGAUUGUGCAUGAGUAAGGUCAUAGGUGGAGAGCGUGCCGGACUGGUCAACGUCGAGUUUCUCAAACUCCUCUAGAAAAGAAGAUAUGUCUUCUUGGCUGAUCUUCCCCAGUUCUUUGAGCUUGUACACGACAAAUUCAGCAGCACUGCACAUAUCAAAGUUCACAAAUCAACACCGAUGCUCAUUACCUGCAAAAUCUUAAGGGAUAUGAUGGCGAGGAAGAAUACUAAAAAUGCUUUAUGCGCUUACCCCACUUUUCGAUCAUUAUCCAGAUCAGCUGCUUCAAGAUCCAUGUUUGUUAUUCUCCGUGUGAGAACCCAUUUGGCCAGCAUUUUCUGCCGUCGCUCGGUGUAGAUCUCAGCAAGGUACAUGAAGAACAGCGCCAGGAUUAUGGUGCUCGUAAUUAUCCAAAAUACCGCGAAAGUGCGCCCCAAUUUGGACGAGAAGCUUUUAUCCCCAUAGCCCAGGGCAGUUAUUGUGGCACAGACACAAUAAAAGGAAUCAACAAGGCUCAGCUUCUCAACCUUCCAGAGAAAAACAGUCCCCACAACAAUGGUUGUCACAAGAAGUAGGGCAGCAGUGUAGAAUUUGUACUUUGUCUUGUUUGUCUCAAUUUGCCUGAGCAUUUUGGCCUCGCUAAACUUCAUGUUCAUGUGCAGUGCCUUGAAGAACAGCACCUCCUGCUUCUCGACGAGAUAAUCUGCCGACUUGCUCACAAAGAGAGCAAUAAACGCCAUGCCGGUGAAGACGAAAACACAGGCGAGGAGCUUCGCCGUGUCACUGUGAGGGACAAGGUCUCCAUAACCAACCGAUGUCAUCGUGACAAUACAGAAGUAGAGUGCGUCAAGCACCCUGUUGGUUCUCUUGCCAGAUAACUGAUCCAUGACAAGGUAAAAGACGACGACGCCCGCUAGCAGGUAGAGAAAUAGGAGGAGCCCUGCUAGUCUAAAGCUCGGUCGUAUCACGCUGAACAACUCCUUGUCUGGAAGCGGCGAGCCAUUUUCUUCUGGUUUCUGAUCGGCCUCUGAUCUGGGAGCCGACCUGCUUCUUCGGAACCGUUUAGCUCCUUCUGACGGCUUCCUUUGGAGCACGUCGGCGUUGUGGUUAUCAGGUAGCAAUGCUCGUUGAAUACUGUUGUCAGACAUUGGUUUAGGUUGCGAAUUGCCGUCACAAUCAAAAACCUAUUAUUCAGAGAAUGUCACACGUUACAGUAUUGGUGUUACAGAUAAGCGAGAAAGAAGUUUAGAAGCUCAUUAAAUAUCAGGUAAAAAUUAAGGCAAGACGGUGGAUAUGCACUGAAUUGCAUGGACAAUUGAGAGACAAUUUUUUUCCUAUCACCAUCAUUCUAAGCAUUGAAUUUUUAACUGCAGGUCAAAGAGAGGCAGACAAAGUAACUUGGGUCAAAAAUAAGGGCCAAUUCUUACUAGAUGUUAUCCUGAAUUCCUGAUUUUGACUUUGUGGGCCUUUAGGCACAGAAUUCUCCUCUUAUCUAGUAUCAAAAUAAGGACCGAUUCCUAUUACACUUACAUAUUCUGUCGCUUUCUCUCUGGACAAAGUCGCACUGCUACUGUUUCAGAUCGGAUCUCUACAGCUAGCUUAAUCUGCAACCCAAGGGAUCAUGAAACUGACAAGCAAAGUGCUGGAAAGUUAACCUUGAUCAGAGACGAAAAGGGGAAGCGAGACGAGCAGGGGAAGCAUUUCCCACUCUGCUAUAUAACAGCAGCAUCUACUCGCAAUGAACAGAGCACAGUUCAGAAGGCAGAGAGAUUAUCCUCCCUUACCUCCCUCCGGCCGACGGAAGCUGGGCGACGCUUUGGGGUGUCCAGGCGCCUUUCUUACUCCUCCUCUUCUUCUUCUUCCCUCGAGCUCUCCUGCUUUGCUCAGCUGAUCUCCUCCCGCUCCGCGUUUGCUCGCUUUUUGUCGACCCGAGCUGAGACCUGAGGCCUGGGCUGAGAGGCACGGAGAUGGGGACGCACGCACGCGCCACGCCGGCCGAGCCGGAUCUCUACGUGUUGGCGUCGCGUGGGUUGAGCUGUGGAGGCUUUGACGUGGCCGGCCCCACCGUGCCGGUGCAAGUUGGAACCCUUCGCCUCGCCGGUUUGUUGACCUUCCUGACCCGGAGGGGGCGCGGCGCGAACCGAUCUGGCGGGUCCAGGUCGGUUGGCAGCAGGCAAAAUUCAGCAGGGCUGCUGCUUCGUUUCUCCGAUCAAGAUCCAACUGAGAUCAGAUCCGAGCUCGCCAUGUUAGGCCAACUCCACCGUGCGAUCCCAUCCUGUUCGCGCGCAUUCGUUACAGAUUAAGCAGACGGUCCAACACACGGGAGCAAACGAACUUUUGUCCGUUUUAUGUCCGCUUUCGAUCCAUCCCCGACCCAACUUUGCGUCGAUUUUGGGCGAAACGAACAACGCGCGGACGGACGGGACGCGCGCUUGUCCGUCCCUGGCCCGCGUGUCGGUGACACAAAGGAAAACCCACCCAUGUCCCCUUUGGCGCCAUUCCCCCCAAACCCUCCCAUGUCCCGCCGUCCCCCUCUCUCCCACGUCCAUGGCCGUCGUCCGAUCGGCCGUGGCCGUUCUUUUUUGGAGGUUGGCAUGGGUGUCGCCCGCUAGGCCGCUGGCUGUGUGUCGGCGAGAAACAGAUUCAUUUAGAAGGCUGGUUGUGUUGCCGCCCGCUGGCUGUGCUGCCAACGAACAAAACUAUUCACUUUGUAGGCUGGCUGUGUUGCCGGAUGCUGGCUUUGUUGCCGACGAGGAUGUGUAGGCCGCUGGCUGUGUUGCCGGCGUGAACUAGGGCCGCUGGCGUGAACUAGGCCGCUGGUAUUUGAAGCGUUGUUCUUUUGGAGGCGGACAAGAUGGGGCCAAAGGAUGCGGUGGCCGUGCGCUGAGCGCACGGCCACCGCAUCCCCGGACACGACCCCAUUGCCCUACCCAUACGGACAGAAUCCGGGCAAAACAGACGUCCGUUUGGUGUCGCGCGGUGGAGUUGGCCUUAGCUGAAUGAAAUGCAAUUGUGCAAGGAGGUGUGGUGCGGGCGUCCAACGAAUCGGGAUAAGAAAGGGCCUACAUGUCACUCUCUCCCCUCGUGCCUCGUGCCUUGCCUGAAAGCUCCACCAACCCGCCACCGCCCCCAUCACUCUCGUGUCAUUGCCCAUUCAUGAACGAUGUCCCUAGCUUGCUUUGCGACGCGGUAGGAGCAUUUAGGCCAACUCCACCGGGCGACCCCAUCUUGUCCGGGUGCGUCCGUUUGGGGUAGAACGGACGAAUAGCGCGGCCCAACGCACGAACCCAAACGAACAAAUGUCCGGAUUUCGUCUGUUUUCGACCCAUCCCCGGCCCAAACUUGCGCCGAGUUUGGGGGAAACGGACAUCGCGCGGACGCGCUCGCCGCACGCCCUUGUCCGCCCGUGGCCCGCGUGUCGGGGACACAAGUAUUCCCAUUCCCUCUCCCGCCCCGCCCGUGGCCCAACGCCUCCACCCCCUCUCCCGCCUCGCCCCGCCGACGGCGCCGCCGCUAUUCUCCGGCCACCUCAGCCCCCGGCCGUCCAUAGCAAACCACGUCUCGACAUGGCCGCCACCACGCCCGCGCUUUCGCCGUAGUUUAUAGGCGUCGAUCGGAGGAGGUUUGGCCGUCGUCGUUGUAGCCGGCGGCAGAGUGGAUACGACCGCAUGCGACGUACCACGGCGGCCACGACAGCUUCCGACGCAUGCUCCAGAGCGGCCAGUAGCCUGCCGCCAACCACCCCUGCAUCGAGGUGAUCAUCGCGACCUCUUUGCCACCACGACCGCAAGGUGUUUGACACUUUGCCCGCAAAGGUAUGGACAGUGGUGAUGAGUUUUUCUUCCACCACUUCA
rnacentral:lncRNA from 1 species